CGAGCGUGACGGCGCGAGCAGGUGCGAAAGCAGGUCAUAGUGAUCCGGUGGUUCUGAAUGGAAGGGCCAUCGCUCAACGGAUAAAAGGUACUCCGGGGAUAACAGGCUGAUACCGCCCAAGAGUUCAUAUCGACGGCGGUGUUUGGCACCUCGAUGUCGGCUCAUCACAUCCUGGGGCUGAAGUAGGUCCCAAGGGUAUGGCUGUUCGCCAUUUAAAGUGGUACGCGAGCUGGGUUUAGAACGUCGUGAGACAGUUCGGUCCCUAUCUGCCGUGGGCGCUGGAGAACUGAGGGGGGCUGCUCCUAGUACGAGAGGACCGGAGUGGACGCAUCACUGGUGUUCGGGUUGUCAUGCCAAUGGCACUGCCCGGUAGCUAAAUGCGGAAGAGAUAAGUGCUGAAAGCAUCUAAGCACGAAACUUGCCCCGAGAUGAGUUCUCCCUGAGACUUUAGGUCUCCUGAAGGAACGUUGAAGACGACGACGUUGAUAGGCCGGGUGUGUAAGCGCAGCGAUGCGUUGAGCUAACCGGUACUAAUGAACCGUGAGGCUUAACCUUACAACGCCGAAGAUGUUUUGGCGGAUGAGAGACGAUUUUCAGCACUGAUUCNNNNNNNNNNNNNNNNNNNNGGAUGAGAGACGAUUUUCAGCACUGAUUCAGAUUACAUCAGAACGUAAAAACGGUCUGAUAACAGAAUUUGCCUGGCGGCAGUAGCGCGGUGGUCCCACCU
rnacentral:rRNA from 1 species